rnacentral:rRNA from 1 species
UACGUAGGGUCCGAGCGUUGUCCGGAAUUAUUGGGCGUAAAGAGCUCGUAGGCGGUUUGUCGCGUCUGCCGUGAAAGUCCGGGGCUCAACUCCGGAUCUGCGGUGGGUACGGGCAGACUAGAGUGAUGUAGGGGAGACUGGAAUUCCUGGUGUAGCGGUGAAAUGCGCAGAUAUCAGGAGGAACACCGGUGGCGAAGGCGGGUCUCUGGGCCGCAACUGACGCUGAGGAGCGAAAGCAUGGGGGAGCGAACAGG